CCCAUUGUAGGUAUAGGAAGUUUCCCAUCUGUAUCUCUUAAUCUGUGCUGCUAAUAUUAAUGGGGAGGAAGAAUGGUGUGCCUGCAAGUAGUUUCGCUAUAUAUGUGUGAACGUUGUGCAAAACUUGGUCAUUAUUAUUAUUAUUGUGUACGUUUUGUUGGCUGGGCCGCAAAUACGCUCACUGUGGGCCACAUGCGGCCCGCGGGCCGCAAGUUUGACACCCUUGCUCUAAGACAUACUUCCAUAUAUGACGUGGAAGUAUGUCUUAGAGAAGAGGGAAUGAAUAUAGUUUCAUAGGAAUAGCGCUAAUAGAAAGGUGGUGAAUAAUGUUUAUAAUUUGAAGAAGUAAAUGGGUUAGUAAUGCACGUGGAAGUACUUAUUAAAGGAUGAGGAUAUGUUUGUGGGAAUCUUUUAAUAUUAUACCUUAUUUAUUAUUGUAUUAUGUGUUGUUUUUUAAUUCUGUAAGAAAACUCUUAGUGGUCGAACAAUUUCAAUGUUUAAAUAUUUC
rnacentral:lncRNA from 1 species